GCCAGGCACGGUUGCGCAUGCCUGUAGUCCUAGCUACUGGGGAGGCUGAUGUGGGAGAAUCACCUGAACUCAGGAGACUGAGGCUGCAGUGAGCUGAGAUCAAGCCACUGCACUCCAGCCUGGGUGACAGAGUGAGACCCUGUCUCCA
ensembl:misc_RNA Metazoa_SRP Metazoan signal recognition particle RNA